rnacentral:rRNA from 1 species
ACAAUGGAGAGUUUGAUCCUGGCUCAGGAUGAACGCUAGCGGUAGGCAUAACACAUGCAAGUCGAGGGGCAGCUGCUUUUGUAGCAAUACAGAGGUGAAGGCGACCGGCGGAUGGGUGAGUAACGCGUAUGCAACCUGCCUUAGAGAGGGGGAUAGGCUCUGGAAACGGGGUGUAAACCGCCAUACUGUUGUAGAUAGGCAUCUAUUUACAAAGAAAUAUUUAUAGCUUUAAGAUGGGCAUGCGUAGGAUUAGCUAGAUGGUGAGGUAACGGCUCACCAUGGCGACGAUCCUUAGGGGUUCUGAGAGGAAGGUCCCCCACAUUGGAACUGAGAACGGUCCAAACUCCUACGGGAGGCAGCAGUGAGGAAUAUUGGUCAAUGGGCGGAAGCCUGAACCAGCCAUACCGCGUGCAGGAGGAAGGUCUUAUGGAUUGUAAACUGCUUUUGUAUUGGGGUAAUGGCAGUGUCGAGAACACUGAAGAGAAAGUACAAUACGAAUAAGUAUCGGCUAACUCCGUGCCAGCAGCCGCGGUAAUACGGAGGAUACGAGCGUUAUCCGGAUUUAUUGGGUUUAAAGGGUGCGUAGGCGGACUGACAGGUCUGUGGUGAAAGCGUUAUGCUCAACAUAAUCGAGCCACAGAAACCGGCGGACUAGAAUAUAAGUGGCGCAGGCGGAAUAAAUCAUGUAGAGGUGACAUUCAUAGAGAUGAUUUAGAACACCGGUCGCGAAGGCAGCUUGCGAAGGUAAUAUUGACGCUAAUGCACGAAAGCGUGGGUAUCGAACAGAAUUAGAUACUCUGGUAGUCCACGCUGUAAACGAUGAUAACUAUAUGUUGGCGAUAGACAGCCAGUGUAGCAGCGAAAGCGAUAAGUUAUCCACCUGGGGAGUACGAUCGCAAGGUUGAAACUCAAAGGAAUUGACGGGGGCCCGCACAAGCGGAGGAGCAUGUGGUUUAAUUCGAUGAUACGCGAGGA